rnacentral:lncRNA from 1 species
GGGCAGGGAUGCGGCCUGGUUUUGCUCACAGGCGUGUUCUUACCGCCUGGCCCAACAAGGGCUCACAACAGCCUUCGUGACUCAGUGAGGCGCUUUGACCCCUCCCGUGAGAUCUGGCUUUGCUCGGCUUCGCUCGCCAUUCCCACUCCUGACCCUCACCUCCAGAAGGCUCCCGAGGGGGCAGGGUUCUUUCCAUUCCUUCCUUCCUUCCCUCACGGGCUAGUAGGUUCAUCCACUCAUUCAUUCAUUCGUUCGCUCGUUCGUGCGUUUGCUCAUUCAUUCACUCGUACAUUCAUUCCAGGCCUCCCCCCUCCACCCAGGCGUCUGGGCCGCACGCGCAGAUCCCCCGCGGGCGCGCCUGGCCCUCCCUCCGGGCCUCGGCCCCGCCCCCGCCCCGCCCCGCCCCCUCUCCAGGCCAAUUGGGACCGGCUGGCCGGGCGGGGCCGGGGCCGGGGCGGGGCCUUGCUCCCCCACUACCCGCGGCGGCGCCCGCGGCUCCGGAAACGCGCCGCGGGGCUGCUGGGCUCAGCCGGGCGCGGGCGGCUCCGUGGCGUUUCCUGCCACGCCGGGCCUGCCUGGGCCGCGCCAGCGCCGCUCCGCCGAGGGCCGCGCGUCUGCCGCCACGGGGCCCGGGAUUCAGUGACAUUUGAUGACGUGGCACAGUACCUCACAAAAGGAGUGGCUGAGACUGGACAGUGAGAGGAGGAUGUUGGCAUAUUGCAGGAGUGCAACCUCUGGGUAAGGAUGCCCCAGCCCUUCACCACUUCUCACAGCUGAAUGGUCCUCCACGGCUGGGUGUGGGAUGAGGGCCACCUGGAGUAGGCCUACACAAGCUUGCCUUCCGGGGGCCUAUGCCCCCCACGUUGGGGAUUGGCUGGAAGAAAACCCAAAGGGUUUUGUCACCCUCAACCUUUUUUUCCACAUUUCAGAGUAGCAGGGCUCCCUCCCACUUCCUAAUGGCAUCCAAAGAAGCCCCCUCAGUGCUUCCUUGGCAAAGAAAUGAGAACAAACUGGACACUGUCAUUUAGAAAAAAAAUUUUUUUAAAUCACAAAUGACACCAAAAUUGCGCGGCCGAUUUGUUAUAGCAUAUUGUCAAGAGUGAGGUUGACCCAGGAAGGUCGUCUGCCCUCUUCCCUGUGCAGGAGUUCCUGUUUUGAAUCCUCCCUGGUGUGAGGACACCUGCUGCCGGCAACCGCCCAUCCCUUAAUGCAGAUUGGGCGAAGCAUUCUGGUGAGUGAGGGAGAAAGAAACCGGAAAAGUGAACACAUCGUGGGGUAAAGCCCGCUGCGCCUUUGGGGAGGGCUGUGGCUCCUUCUCAGUGUAGAAGGCGGGGAGCUCCUCGGGGCUACUUUGGUGGCAGGGAGUGUGGGACCCUAGGGACGUCGAUGCCCCUUUCGUCUGUGGUCCUUGCUUCUGGGCGGAUGGGCACCAGCCAUGCUGUCCCCCGACCCCAACGUCCCCUGCACCCCGUCCUUACCCCCGCCGUGCUUGGGCCCCAGGGUCACCAGCCGUCUCCGGAGGAAUGCGAUUCUUGACAGAGGAUCGCCACCUCGGUCCCUCCUCCUCUGCAGGGCGCGGCGUCUUGCGGUGCUGGUGUCCGAGCGGAGCGCGCGGCUGAG